rnacentral:rRNA from 1 species
UACAGAGGGUGCGAGCGUUAAUCGGAAUUACUGGGCGUAAAGCGUGCGUAGACGGUUAUUUAAGUCGGAUGUGAAAGCCCCGGGCUCAACCUGGGAAUGGCAAUGGAUACUGGCAAGCUAGAGUGCGGUAGAGGGUAGUGGAAUUCCCGGUGUAGCGGUGAAAUGCGUAGAGAUCGGGAGGAACACCAGUGGCGAAGGCGGCUACCUGGACCAGCACUGACACUGAGGCACGAAAGCGUGGGGAGCAAACAGG